CCUUAGGUAGAUGCAACAAACCGUUUUGGUUGUUUACUGUAUCUGCCGAUGCUGGGGUUUGUCAUAGUUACACUGACCACGU
rnacentral:snoRNA from 1 species